UACAGAGGUCUCGAGCGUUAGGCGGAAUCACUGGGCUUAAAGCGUGUGUAGGCGGAUGCCUAAGUACCUUGUGAAAUCCCACGGCUUAACCGUGGAACUGCUUGGUAUACUGGGUGUCUUGAGCCACUCAGGGGCGAGCGGAACAAAUGGUGGAGCGGUGAAAUGCGUAGAUAUCAUUUGGAACGCCAAUGGUGAAAACAGCUCGCUGGGGGUGUGACUGACGCGUGGAGACACGAAAGCCCAGGGGAGCGAACGGG
rnacentral:rRNA from 1 species